GCAAACUUGGUCAUUUAGAGGAAGUAAAAGUCGUAACAAGGUCUCCGUUGGUGAACCAGCGGAGGGAUCAUUAUAGAGUAUAAAAACUCCUAAACCCAUGUGAAUCUACCCAUUGUUGCUUCGGCAGGUCGUAUCUAUCCGUCGAGUGCCGCCAGUUCUGGCAGCACUUACCCUAUAGUGCGGUAAAGCCUUGCCGAUAGCUCCCUAAACACUGUUUGUAAAUUGAAAUUCUGAAUUGGUAACUAAAUAAGUUAAAACUUUCAACAACGGAUCUCUUGGUUCUGGCAUCGAUGAAGAACGCAGC
rnacentral:misc_RNA from 1 species